AUGCUGGCCGUCACGUGAGAGUGACGUAACCAUUUGCACAGUACGGAAGCUUUAAGAUACAAUUUAUAAGUUGAUACACCCGAAGGUGAGUCCUAAUUUUGUCCAUUCUGUCAGAACACCGUCGAAUUCCUCGUAGUCACCACACCUUUGUGAUUCCUGAACCUGGAGGGGCGCAAAACCAAAAUUGAGUGGGUCAGUAAAACAAUUCUUCUCCAAAUCCAAACAUUUCUCAAAACGUUGUAACCCCUCUCCGUAAAACCUGUAUACUUUCCCAGAAAUGUAAAAUAUAAAUAUACAUAUAUAUUCUCAAAACUUCAUUUUUACUAUCUCAACAUUUUCUUUAUCAAUCAUGCCAUGCCAUGUCUAAUUCAACAGUUAAGUAUGGAUGCAUCAACAAUAAUCAUAUCAGGUGCAAGAAAGUAAUCAACCGGAGGCCCUCUAAUAGCCCUGUACGGUUGAAUCUAGAGCUCAAAAUCUAUCACUAUCACUCUGCCGGAGUCACCUCUGUGACCUGUACGGCCUUCUGCACAUAAGUUACGCUCUAGUGCUUUCUCAUCAAUCAUCUGUGCACAUAAUCUAAGGUCACCCACCAGUCGAAAUCUCACUAACACUCUUCGACUGGCCCGUCGCACCCACUCCGCGUGGACUGUGCGACCAGCAUCUACUUGGAUCCAAGGCGAGCGUGCGAUGCGGUGAAUACUAUAAGCACUAAACUAUGGUGCAGGAUUUGAGCUCAAUAUACAUCAACAUCAUCAUAACAGUAAUUAAAUACUCACCUGAUACUCACCUGUGCGUCCGCCGCACCAUUCAUUCAUAUGCAUCAUAUCUCAAUUCAUACUUUUCAUAUCAUUUCAUGCAUGGCAAUUCGAUUCACAUUUCUAUAUACUUUGCAUAUAAUUUUAUGCAUGGCAUCUCAAUUCACAUCUCAAUAUACUUUUCAUAUAAUUUUAUGCAUUGCAUUUAAAGCAUAAUUUCAUGCAUUUUCAAUUUCUGGGAAAACGGUAAGUAUAUAUGUAUACGGAAAACAAAACUGCCCACUCACCUGGAGUUCGCCCUACAACUCCCUAGCACAAUACGCCAAGGCGUCAUGACGAUCGGCGCCUAAAACAAUAAUCAAUUCCAACCUCAGAAUUCAUAUCGAUAGAAUAUAUA
rnacentral:lncRNA from 1 species